CUCUGAGUCCGCAAUGAACUUGUUUUAGUUAAUAUACUGAAACUGUAAACAAUAGACGCUUGCGCUUCCAUGAUACCUUCGAGGGGGUGAGGUAGCACCUCUCAGUAGCCCUGUGACAUUCGUCGCAUGUACACGUGCUUUCUUAUUUGUGUUUGCGGUCUCAGAUUCCGCGCGCGACCGAUUGUGUUCCAGAACAAUCCAGUGCAAUUAAACCGAAGCCGAGACAAUGAAUUACGAAGACUUAGAACGUCGAAUAUCUCGUAUGUUAGAGGAGGUGGAAUCAGAAGAUGAGGUCUUCGAUAACGUUUCGGACCAAGAAGACGACCCAAUAGAAAUUUCACCAGCACAGAAUGAGUGUGUUCAUGUGAUGUUGUGUGAUGUUAUAAUUUAGAUUAUUCUAGAACUUUACGUAAAAUGAUCUCAAAAAUAGAUGUCAUUUUAGAGUUCCUAUUACACAGUGCCAAUUGAUGAUGAAUGUGAUUUAUUUCUAAGAUAAUUAUAGUCAAGUUUAUAAGUUGUUAAUUGAAAAAAAGAAAAUUCCAUUUUGUUUUGUUUAAUGUUGAUUUAUAACGGUGAUUUCCACCCAGAGUCAAAAAUUUUGAGUUUUUAUAGACCUUUGUUCUAUUAAGUACAAAUAAAAGAAGUAAUGAGUAA